UGGGCACUGACAUUUCCAGGCGGGGGGGCUGCCCGCCAUCUUGGUUUAGGGCAUGAAGACGGAUUCGACCCUAGUGACGCUCGAAGUUUGAAGGGCCGUUGGGGAGUCGGACAGGAUGUUUUCCAAGGAGCCUGGUGGCUGCGGCGGGUUAGGGCAGGCCCCGACUGCCUCGGAGGCCCUGAUCGGCCAUCUUGGCUGCUGUCACUAGAGCCCCUUGCUGGUUUCAUUGAUCGGUUCGGUGUGAGUAGGUCGGUUCUGCUCAGGUGCCUGAUGAGAAAGGAAGAUCGAAGCCUUCAUUGCUGAACUUUUCCAUCCUCUGUUGGAAGGAGGAAGGGACCAGGUGAAACCCCGCUGCAGCUGCCAUGCCAACACUUAAACUCUGUGUACUGCAAGCCACCAUCACAUCAGAGAAGAUGCACCAGGCACAAGACCAUGAGUACAUCGGAUCCAAAGAGAGUAAGCUGGGAGUAUAAAGCAGAAUGGAACCAAAUUCAUCCACUGCAGUUGACGGUUACACUAGGGUCUGAAUUUGGCCCAGGGCAUUUAACCACCUUCACCAUGUUCCUGUGAUACAGCUUUUAAAUAUUUUAUAGGAUUUGGAUCUGUUGUGAUUUUUUUUUUUUUGUU